GUGCCAGCAGCCGCGGUAAUACGUAGGUGGCAAGCGUUGUCCGGAAUUAUUGGGCGUAAAGCGCGCGCAGGCGGUUCCUUAAGUCUGAUGUGAAAGCCCACGGCUCAACCGUGGAGGGUCAUUGGAAACUGGGGAACUUGAGUGCAGAAGAGGAAAGUGGAAUUCCAAGUGUAGCGGUGAAAUGCGUAGAGAUUUGGAGGAACACCAGUGGCGAAGGCGACUUUCUGGUCUGUAACUGACGCUGAGGCGCGAAAGCGUGGGGAGCAAACAGGAUUAGAUACCCUGGUAGUCC
rnacentral:rRNA from 1 species